ensembl:snRNA Gm25132 predicted gene, 25132
GUGCUCGCUUGGGCAGCACAUAUACUAAAAUUAGAACGAUACAAAGAAGAUUAGCAUGGCCCCUGCUCAAGGAUGACACACAAAUUCGUGAAGCGUUCCAUAUUAAG